rnacentral:rRNA from 1 species
GGGUUGUGAGGUUAAGCGACUAAGCGUACACGGUGGAUGCCCUGGCAGUCAGAGGCGAUGAAGGACGUGCUAAUCUGCGAAAAGCGUCGGUAAGGUGAUAUGAACCGUUAUAACCGGCGAUGUCCGAAUGGGGAAACCCAGUGCAAUUCGUUGCACUAUCGUUAACUGAAUACAUAGGUUAACGAGGCGAACCGGGGGAACUGAAACAUCUAAGUACCCCGAGGAAAAGAAAUCAACCGAGAUUCCCCCAGUAGCGGCGAGCGAACGGGGAGCAGCCCAGAGUCUGAAUCAGCUUGUGUGUUAGUGGAACGGUCUGGAAAGUCCGACGGUACAGGGUGAUAGUCCCGUACACCAAAAUGCACAGGUUGUGAACUCGAAGAGUAGGGCGGGACACGUGGUAUCCUGUCUGAAUAUGGGGGGACCAUCCUCCAAGGCUAAAUACUCCUGACUGACCGAUAGUGAACCAGUACCGUGAGGGAAAGGCGAAAAGAACCCCGGCGAGGGGAGUGAAAAAGAACCUGAAACCGUGUACGUACAAGCAGUGGGAGCACCUUCGGGUGUGACUGCGUACCUUUUGUAUAAUGGGUCAGCGACUUAUAUUCUGUAGCAAGGUUAACCGUAUAGGGGAGCCGCAGGGAAACCGAGUCUUAACUGGGCGUUAAGUUGCAGGGUAUAGACCCGAAACCCGGUGAUCUAGCCAUGGGCAGGUUGAAGGUUGGGUAACACUAACUGGAGGACCGAACCGACUAAUGUUGAAAAAUUAGCGGAUGACUUGUGGCUGGGGGUGAAAGGCCAAUCAAACCGGGAGAUAGCUGGUUCUCCCCGAAAGCUAUUUAGGUAGCGCCUCGUGAAUUCAUCUUCGGGGGUAGAGCACUGUUUCGGCUAGGGGGUCAUCCCGACUUACCAACCCGAUGCAAACUACGAAUACCGAAGAAUGUUAUCACGGGAGACACACGGCGGGUGCUAACGUCCGUCGUGAAGAGGGAAACAACCCAGACCGCCAGCUAAGGUCCCAAAGUCAUGGUUAAGUGGGAAACGAUGUGGGAAGGCACAGACAGCCAGGAUGUUGGCUUAGAAGCAGCCAUCAUUUAAAGAAAGCGUAAUAGCUCACUGGUCGAGUCGGCCUGCGCGGAAGAUGUAACGGGGCUAAACCAUGCACCGAAGCUGCGGCAGCGACACUAUGUGUUGUUGGGUAGGGGAGCGUUCUGUAAGCCUGCGAAGGUGUGCUGUGAGGCAUGCUGGAGGUAUCAGAAGUGCGAAUGCUGACAUAAGUAACGAUAAAGCGGGUGAAAAGCCCGCUCGCCGGAAGACCAAGGGUUCCUGUCCAACGUUAAUCGGGGCAGGGUGAGUCGACCCCUAAGGCGAGGCCGAAAGGCGUAGUCGAUGGGAAACAGGUUAAUAUUCCUGUACUUGGUGUUACUGCGAAGGGGGGACGGAGAAGGCUAUGUUAGCCGGGCGACGGUUGUCCCGGUUUAAGCAUGUAGGCUGGUUGUCCAGGCAAAUCCGGAUAAUCAAGGCUGAGGUGUGAUGACGAGGCACUACGGUGCUGAAGUAACAAAUGCCCUGCUUCCAGGAAAAGCCUCUAAGCAUCAGGUAACAUUAAAUCGUACCCCAAACCGACACAGGUGGUCAGGUAGAGAAUACCAAGGCGCUUGAGAGAACUCGGGUGAAGGAACUAGGCAAAAUGGUGCCGUAACUUCGGGAGAAGGCACGCUGGUGUGUAGGUGAAG